UACAGAGGGUGCGAGCGUUUAAUCGGAAUUACUGGGCGUAAAGCGUGCGUAGACGGUUAUUUAAGUCGGAUGUGAAAGCCCCGGGCUCAACCUGGGAAUUGCAUUCGAGACUGAAUAGCUAGGGUACGGUAGAGGGAAGUGGAAUUUCCGGUGUAGCGGUGAAAUGCGUAGAUAUCGGAAGGAACAUCAGUGGCGAAAGCGGCUCACUGGACCGGUACUGACGCUGAUGCGCGAAAGCGUGGGGAGCAACAGG
rnacentral:rRNA from 1 species